rnacentral:rRNA from 1 species
GACGAACGCUGGCGGCGUGCUUAAUACAUGCAAGUCGAACGGGAAGGCCCUGCUUUUGUGGGGUGCUCGAGUGGCGAACGGGUGAGUAACACGUGAGUAACCUGCCCUUGACUUUGGGAUAACUUCAGGAAACUGGGGCUAAUACCGGAUAGGAGCUCCUGCUGCAUGGUGGGGGUUGGAAAGUUUCGGCGGUUGGGGAUGGACUCGCGGCUUAUCAGCUUGUUGGUGGGGUAGUGGCUUACCAAGGCUUUGACGGGUAGCCGGCCUGAGAGGGUGACCGGCCACAUUGGGACUGAGAUACGGCCCAGACUCCUACGGGCGGCAGCAGUGGGGAAUAUUGCACAAUGGGCGGAAGCCUGAUGCAGCAACGCCGCGUGCGGGAUGACGGCCUUCGGGUUGUAAACCGCUUUCGCCUGUGACGAAGCGUGAGUGACGGUAAUGGGUAAAGAAGCACCGGCUAACUACGUGCCAGCCGCCGCAGUAA